AUGAACGCUAGCUACAGGCUUAACACAUGCAAGUCGAGGGGCAGCAUGGUCUUAGCUUGCUAAGGCCGAUGGCGACCGGCGCACGGGUGAGUAACACGUAUCCAACCUGCCGUCUACUCUUGGACAGCCUUCUGAAAGGAAGAUUAAUACAAGAUGGCAUCAUGAGUCCGCAUGUUCACAUGAUUAAAGGUAUUCCGGUAGACGAUGGGGAUGCGUUCCAUUAGAUAGUAGGCGGGGUAACGGCCCACCUAGUCUUCGAUGGAUAGGGGUUCUGAGAGGAAGGUCCCCCACAUUGGAACUGAGACACGGUCCAAACUCCUACGGGAGGCAGCAGUGAGGAAUAUUGGUCAAUGGGCGAGAGCCUGAACCAGCCAAGUAGCGUGAAGGAUGACUGCCCUAUGGGUUGUAAACUUCUUUUAUAAAGGAAUAAAGUCGGGUAUGGAUACCCGUUUGCAUGUACUUUAUGAAUAAGGAUCGGCUAACUCCGUGCCAGCAGCCGCGGUAAUACGGAGGAUCCGAGCGUUAUCCGGAUUUAUUGGGUUUAAAGGGAGCGUAGAUGGAUGUUUAAGUCAGUUGUGAAAGUUUGCGGCUCAACCGUAAAAUUGCAGUUGAUACUGGAUAUCUUGAGUGCAGUUGAGGCAGGCGGAAUUCGUGGUGUAGCGGUGAAAUGCUUAGAUAUCACGAAGAACUCCGAUUGCGAAGGCAGCCUGCUAAGCUGCAACUGACAUUGAGGCUCGAAAGUGUGGGUAUCAAACAGGAUUAGAUACCCUGGUAGUCCACACGGUAAACGAUGAAUACUCGCUGUUUGCGAUAUACGGCAAGCGGCCAAGCGAAAGCGUUAAGUAUUCCACCUGGGGAGUACGCCGGCAACGGUGAAACUCAAAGGAAUUGACGGGGGCCCGCACAAGCGGAGGAACAUGUGGUUUAAUUCGAUGAUACGCGAGGAACCUUACCCGGGCUUAAAUUGCAGAUGAAUUACGGUGAAAGCCGUAAGCCGCAAGGCAUCUGUGAAGGUGCUGCAUGGUUGUCGUCAGCUCGUGUCGUGAGAUGUUGGGUUAAGUCCCGCAACGAGCGCAACCCUUAUCCUUUGUUGCCAGCGGUCCGGCCGGGAACUCAAAGGAGACUGCCAGUGAUAAACUGGAGGAAGGUGGGGAUGACGUCAAGUCAUCAUGGCCCUUACGACCAGGGCUACACACGUGCUACAAUGGACAGAGCCGAGGGAAGCGAAGCCGCGAGGUGGAGCGAAACCCAUAAAACUGUUCUCAGUUCGGACUGCAGUCUGCAACUCGACUGCACGAAGAUGGAAUCGCUAGUAAUCGCGAAUCAGCCUGUCGCGGUGAAUACGUUCCCGGGCCUUGUACACACCGCCCGUCACACCAUGGGAGUCGGGAAUACCCGAAGCCUGUGAGCCAACAUAUUUAUAUGAGGCAGCAGUCGAAGGUAGAAUCGAUGAUUGGGGUG
rnacentral:rRNA from 1 species